rnacentral:rRNA from 1 species
AUGAAACCUAGGUCAUGUGACUCGCGUCACCAACUCAUGUCCCCUUCCAAGCACCACAGCGCCUGCCCUACCCGCCGUCACAGUCCCACGCUCCCACCCCACAGGCAUUGCACUCUGUCGCAGGUCCACAUCCGCACUGUCGUGACGUGCAAGACGGAGGUGGAAGCUGCGUUUGGCAGGCGACGAUGCUGGCCAUCGUCUAUCGACUCGGCGAUGCAGCAUGACAUCGAUGAUUCAAAUAACACAAGAAGGAUGCCACCAUCAUUCUCGAAGCCGCGGCCGAUCAAGAGACAUGGAUUUGGCAUGCAUUUUUUGGGAUGCCUGGAUCUUGCAAUGACAUCAAUGUGUUUCAUCGGUCACCACUCUUUGCAAUGUUAG